rfam:Micromonospora carbonacea strain JXNT-1 contig1, whole genome shotgun sequence.
CUUGAUCGAGCCGAGCCACAGCGGGUCGUGCCCGUCGCGGUCCCGCCCGUAGGUGGCCAGCAGCGCCUGCGCCUC